rnacentral:rRNA from 1 species
UAAAAAAAAAUAAGACUUUUGAUGACAAAUUUAGCACUUAGAGACGAGGAAAGGCGUAAAAAAAAACGAAAAGCUUUGGUUAAUUUAAAAAUAAAUGUAGAUCCAUGGAUUCCUGAAUAGGAAAACCUUUUAAUUAUACUAUAUUAUAUAAAAUAAAAGAGAUAAUCUAGUGAACUGAAACAUCUUAGUAUCUAGUAGAAAAAAAAAAAUUCUCAUAGUAAUUGAUGAAAAAAAUGAGAUAUUAUAUUAAAAUAAUAAAAAAAAUAUUAUGUUUUUAUUAAAUGUUAAUGUUAUAUAUAGUAAGAUAAAAGUGUUAGGUGAAAUUGGAGAUUUUCCAUACCUUAGAAGGCAUUAGUCCAGUAACCAAAAACAAAAACUUUUUUAAUGUAUGUGAAUUUUUCCGUAUAUAUUAUAUAAAACACCCUUUUAGAUUAAAUAUUACUAAGUUUUUAAUAGCGAAAAAGUACUGUAGAGGAAAAGUGUUUAUAUAAUAUUAAUAAUAAUAUAUAAUAGUGAAAAAGAGUAUGAAUCUUGAGUUAUCAAGCAGUGGGAUAAAAAAAAAAGAAUAUAUAUUCUUUUUUUUUUUUACUGCAUUCCUGUUGAAGAAUGAGCCGGCGACUUAUAUGCAGUGGCUUGAUUAAAAAAAAAAUUGUAAUCAUAGAAAAAUCAAGUUUUUUUAGAUAGUGUGUCACUGUUUAUGUACCCGACCCUGGGUGAUCUAUCCAUAACCAGGAUGAAACUAAAUUUUAAUUAAAGUGGAAGUCUGAACCGACUGAUGUUGAAUAAACAGCGGAUGAGUUUUGGUUAGGAGUGAAAUGCCAAUCGAACCCAGAGCUAGCUGGUUCCCCUCGAAAUGCGUUUAGGCGCAGCAGUUUUAAUGUUAUUAUUUUUUUAAGGGGUAAAAAGUUUUUGUUUUAUAAUUAAAAAAAAAAAAACUAAUAAUACUAAAAAAAAAACUAGUGAGAUUUUUGGGGGUAAGCUUUAUGUUCAAGAGGGAAACAGCCCAGACCACCAGAAAAGGCUCCAAAAAAAUUUGCUUAGUAAAAAAAGAAGUAAAAUUACAUAGACAAUUAGAGGGUUUGCCUGGGGGCAGCAAUCCCUUAAAGGAAUGCGUAAUAGCUUACUAAUUAAGUGAUUUUGUGCUAUAUAUACAAAAGGGUAUAAGUGAUUUGCCGAAGCUUUGGGAUGUAAAAAUUUUUCAGUAGGGGGGCGUUCCCACACGAUGCGCAUUUACCUUUUAAUAAUUAAUAAUAAUUUAUGUGCUCAUAUAUGGAAGUGAAAAUGUUGGCUUAAGUAACGAAACAAUGGUUUUUAUAAAUCCAAAAACCCCAAAAACCUAAGGAUUCCUUAGGUUAUAAAUAUAUGGAGUAUGAGGGUAAGUCAGGACUUAAGAUCAGACCAAAUGCAAAGGUGUAAUCGAUGGUAAAACAGGUAAAAAAUACUGUACUAUAAUGUUUUUUUAGUUUAGUUACGAGUAACGAAAUAAUUUUUUUUUUUUUUUUUUCGAGAUAUGGUUCGGUUUAAGGGUGAAAAAUAAAGAUUAAUAAAGAAAGUAGAGAAAAUAUUUUAUUUUAAAUCUAUACCUAAGUAUAAUAAUAAUAUAUUUAUUUACUAUAAAAAAAAGUUUUGAAUAAUUAAUUAAAUAAUUAAAUUAAUAUAAUAUAUAUAAUUUUUCCAGGAAAAGCUUGAAUAACUUUUUUACAAAAACAAUACCUGUACCUGAAACCUACACAGGUGGGUAGGUAAAGAAUACCUAGGGGAUCGAGAUAACUAUCUCUAAGGAACUCGGCAAAAUAACCUCGUAACUUUUGGAGAAGAGGUCCCUAAAAUUUAUUAUAUUAGGUUGCAGUGAAGAGACCCAAACGACUGUUUAUCAAAAACACAAGUCUCUGCAAAGUUGUAAGACUAAGUAUUGGGGCUGACACCUGCCCAGUGCCAAAAGGUAAAAAUAGUAGGUUGGUUACUUGAUGACGAGUAAAUCAUUUAUAUUAAUUUAUUGGUAAACGGCGGCCGUAACUAUAACGGUCCUAAGGUAGCGAAAUUCCUUGUCGGGUAAGUUCCGACCCGCACGAAAGGUGUAACGAUUUGGGUGCUGUCUCCGAGAUAGACUCGGUAAAAUAUACAUGUCUGUGAAGAUGCGGACUACCUGAACUUGGACAGAAAGACCCUAAGAAACUUUACUAUGUUUUUGAUAUUGAUUUUUUUUUUUUCAUAUAAUUAUUUGUAUUUGUGGUAGGAUUUAUUUAAAAUAUAAUUUUCCAAAAAUACCAACCACUAUUGAAAAAAAAAAAUAAUAAUAAUAAUGUAUUUUUUAACUUAUUUCAAAACUUACGGUUUAAGGAAAAGUAUCAAAAAUAUAGUUUAUAUGGGGCGUAAACCCAAAAAAAAAUAACAUGAGGUGUGCAAAAGGUUUCCUCAUAUUUUAAUAUUAAUAAAAAUUUUCGAGUGAAAAGACAUAAGGUAACUUGACUGCAAAACCUACCUUUUAAGCAGGGAUAAAAGUCGGCCUUAGUGAUCUGAGGGUUCCUAGUGUGGGUCGUGGCCCUCAAUAAUCGGAAAAAAGUUACUCUAGGGAUAACAGGCUUAUCUUUUAUAAGAGUUCAUAUCCAAAAAAAGGUUUGGCACCUCGAUGUCGGCUCUUCGCCACCUGGGGCUGUAUCAUUUUGUCCUAAGGGUUGGAUUGUUCGUCCAUUAAAGCGGUACGUGAGCUGGGUUCAGAACGUCGUGAGACAGUUCGGUCCAUAUCUGGUUUAGGCGUUAGAGCAUUUUUUGGUAUACUUCUUAGUACGAGAGGACCAGGAAAAAAAUACCUAUGAUAUAUCCAGUUAUUAUGCCUAUGAUAAACGCUGGUUAGUUAAGUAUAUGGGGAUAAUUGCUGAAAGCAUAUAAGUUUUAAGCUCACCUUAAGAUAAAUGCUCUAUUUAUUAGAAAUAUAAAUAAUAAAGUAAAUAAAGUAAAGGUAAUUGUAAGAUUAAACAAAAAUUUUUUAGGUGUUAAGUUAAAAUAUAGAAAUGUGUAAACAGCUGAGGCAUACUAACAUACCGAACAAAAAAGAGAU